GUUCGCUCCCCACGCUUUCGUCCAUCAGCGUCAGUUGAUGUUUAGUCACCUGCCUUCGCAAUUGGUGUUCUGCGUAAUAUCUAAGCAUUUCACCGCUACACUACACAUUCCAGCAACUUCAACAUCACUCAAGACUAACAGUAUCAAUGGCAGUUUCAUAGUUAAGCUAUGAGAUUUCACCACUGACUGAUUAAUCCGCCUACGGACCCUUUAAACCCAAUAAAUCCGGAUAACGCUUGCACCCUCCGUAUUACCGCGGCUGCUGGCACGGAGUUAGCCGGUGCUUAUUCUUCUGGUACCUUCAGCUACUCACACGUGAGUAGGUUUAUCCCCAGAUAAAAGUAGUUUACAACCCAUAAGGCCGUCAUCCUACACGCGGGAUGGCUGGAUCAGGCUUCCACCCAUUGUCCAAUAUUCCUCACUGCUGCCUCCCGUAGGAGUCUGGUCCGUGUCUCAGUACCAGUGUGGGGGUUCACCCUCUCAGGCCCCCUAAAGAUCAUCGUCUUGGUGAGCCGUUACCUCACCAACUAACUAAUCUUACGCAUGCCUAUCCUACUGCGAUAAAUCUUUCAAAAUCUAAUGAUGCCAUUAAAUCUGUUAUAAAGUAUUAAUCCUCCUUUCGAAGGGCUAUCCUUUUCAGUAGGGCAAGUUGCAUACGCGUUACGCACCCGUGCGCCGGUCUCUAGUUAGCAAGCUAACUAUACCCCUCGGCUUGCAUGUGUUAAGCCUCCCGCUAGCGUUCAUCCUGAGCCAUGAUCAAACUC
rnacentral:rRNA from 1 species